GGGUGCUGGCCUUGGGCACACUCCCCAGCCCUGGACACCCUCCAGCCCAGCAGAGGCAGCCACAGCUCCCCACAUCUGCCAAGCCUCUGCUUUAUCUGCUCCUUUAUGAAAAACACACGAGGCUGAGGCGUUUUUCAUGCUCUGUGUGGCAGGUUUCGAGUGGCCCGGAUGAGUGGAACUAUUUGUGUGCAGUUGAGGUAGAUGAGAUAAGGCCUGUGCAAAUAAAGGGUCGCCAGGCUGGGCUGGAUUGGGAUGAAGCUGGCAGCCUCCUCACAGGGCUCUGGCAGCACAGCCCAGCUCAAACCUGAUGCAAUGGGUGCUGCGGGCUCGUGGUAUUUUCACAGAGUGUUGUAUGAGCUUGAUGUGUGUGAUUUGGAUCUUUACGAGUUUGUUAACAAUUGUAUUCGUGCCUAGAUGGGGCAAGAUGAAGGAGCCAAAAUUCCAGGCAGUGGAAGGUAAUUAAUGCUCAUCUUCAGUGCCAGAAGUCGUUGGGAAACUGUGGCCCCAUCCCAAAAAAUGGGCAGAGUCCUGUCUCACUUGGGUAAAUCCCUAUGAGCUGCAGGAGAGGGAGAGAGAGAUACUGAACAGAUCAGUCCAGAAGCGUAAUGAAAUGCGGCAGAUGAAGCGGGACACGACGCAGUUUGCUGUUCCCACAGACUGGAGAGUGUGUGGAAACAAGCUGUUUUCCAAGGGCUCCACUUCACUUCCAAGGCACUUCAGUCUCUUCCCAGAUUAUGGCUCCAAAUGGUUCAAGAGGAAACCAGGGCGCAGCAAGGAAAGGAGAGAGAUUUUGCUUCUUUCAAAUUUGUCAUUUCUAUUACAGCUGUAUGUUGGGAAGCACAAGAACAGGGCAUUUCAAGUUACCUGAAAACAUAACCAACAGCAAGUUUUGUCAAGCAAACAAGGUCCCCUGAGCAGAACCUGGGAACUGCUUGGCUGGUUUUAUUCAGAAAGCUGCCUGAUCUUUCAGGGGAGUGGGGGAGAAAGUCCAAAAGGCUGCUGUGCCAAGUUAGUUUGUAAAUGGUCAGUCCAGGACAGCUGGAAUAGGGGGCCAGUCAACAUCCAGACCAAACAAUAAAAAAAACCCCAAAAAACCCACAACAGAAUGCCAUAAACAGAAAUGUUUUUUACCAAGUCUUUGUUCUUUUCGUGACUACAGACCCAUUUGAAAAAUUGUCUCUAAGAACUUCCCAAUAAAUCAAUAUUUUUCUGAUGGGAACUGCCCAGGCCAUCUCGGCCAACUGGCCACAAAAUGAUACCAAAUCACUUGGUGCUGCUGACUAUUUCCCUGAAGGACUUUCAGGCCCCAAAAGAUGACUGACUCAAGUCCCCAACCAUCCAGUCCUGUGCAGGGGUGCUGAGGAGCAAUUUUUAUAAUGUAUAAUGGACACAGAUGUUUCCCAUCUGCCAACUAUGCCAUAAGGAACAACAUCCCACAGCUGAGGCCAUCUGAAACGCUUCCCACACACCCCAGGGCCGUGCCCAGCUGCAGUCCCACCCAGCAGGAGCGUGUGAUGGGAGCUGUCAACAGGUACCGAGUGUCCCUGACAUGAGACAGCAGACUGAGGGACAGAGGGGGCAGAAAAACAGAAAUGGUGAUGCAGAAGUAAGAAAAGCAGCACCUGGGUCACUCAGACUUACUUAGAAGGGUUUUGUUGGGUAUUUUUUUCUUUUUCUUUUUUUUUUUUUUACACAGGCACAAAUGUUUAAAGCUAAAGUCUAAAACGAGUCAGAGCUACUUCACACCCAUCCAGUGCAGAAAGCCCUGCUCUUAACACCCCAGUGUGUGUUUAGACUAGUAUUUUAUUAGAAGAGGGGGAGUGGAGAGAUGGAGAAGGGAACUAAUGGCACCCUGGAUGGAAGAGAUCCCAUUAAGACCCCCUGCUGUAUAAAGUGUUGAAACCGUGCUGGGCUGAGGGCUUCCUGAGCUGCUUCUAUUAAUACAACAGAAAUAAAUGGAAUUUUGGCUGGAUGGUCUCAAAGGGCUGCAUGGUCUUAGGGCAGAGGAUUUCAAGCCUUUGUUAACAAUGAGGAUAGUAGAUGCAGUUGGACUUAUUUAUUAUUUAGCCACCUGUGGUACAAAUGGCUGCACACUCCUCACCCUUGUGCUGGGGUUAAGAACUUACUUUGCUUCCUUCUGUGGACUAGGAUUGUGGAGUUGCAUUUCCCUCUCCCAAGCUUCUGCUGCCACUAUUGACAUCCCUUUUUAAUCAUCUAUUUGUGCCUUUUCCUCCGCUCACAACUCCCUUAUUUUCUUUAUUGACUUCCCAUUCCUCGUCCCCCUCCAGUACUUUUCACCCUUAUGUUGACCCUGUUGCCACACAAUAUCCAAACAAAGCCAGAAUAACAUAAAAUAAAAUAAAAUAAAAUAAAAUAAAAUAAAAUAAAAUAAAAUAAAAUAA